rnacentral:rRNA from 1 species
GAAAGGGGGCUUCGGCUCCCGCUAUCGGAUGAGCCUAUGUCGGAUUAGCUGGUUGGUGAGGUAAAGGCUCACCAAGGCGACGAUCCGUAGCUGGUCUGAGAGGAUGAUCAGCCACAUCGGGACUGAGACACGGCCCGAACUCCUACGGGAGGCAGCAGUGGGGAAUAUUGGACAAUGGGGGGAACCCUGAUCCAGCCAUGCCGCGUGUGUGAAGAAGGCCCUCGGGUUGUAAAGCACUUUCAGUGAGGAAGAACGCCUGGUGGUUAAUACCCAUCAGGAAAGACAUCACUCACAGAAGAAGCACCGGCUAACUCCGUGCCAGCAGCCGCGGUAAUACGGAGGGUGCGAGCGUUAAUCGGAAUUACUGGGCGUAAAGCGCGCGUAGGUGGCUUGAUAAGCCGGUUGUGAAAGCCCCGGGCUCAACCUGGGAACGGCAUCCGGAACUGUCAAGCUAGAGUGCAGGAGAGGAAGGUAGAAUUCCCGGUGUAGCGGUGAAAUGCGUAGAGAUCGGGAGGAAUACCAGUGGCGAAGGCGGCCUUCUGGACUGACACUGACACUGAGGUGCGAAAGCGUGGGUAGCAAACAGGAUUAGAUACCCUGGUAGUCCACGCCGUAAACGAUGUCGACCAGCCGUUGGGUGCCUAGCGCACUUUGUGGCGAAGUUAACGCGAUAAGUCGACCGCCUGGGGAGUACGGCCGCAAGGUUAAAACUCAAAUGAAUUGACGGGGGCCCGCACAAGCGGUGGAGCAUGUGGUUUAAUUCGAUGCAACGCGAAGAACCUUACCUACUCUUGACAUCCUGCGAAUUCGGUAGAGAUACCUUAGUGCCUUCGGGAACGCAGAGACAGGUGCUGCAUGGCUGUCGUCAGCUCGUGUUGUGAAAUGUUGGGUUAAGUCCCGUAACGAGCGCAACCCUUGUCCUUAUUUGCCAGCGCGUAAUGGCGGGAACUCUAAGGAGACUGCCGGUGACAAACCGGAGGAAGGUGGGGACGACGUCAAGUCAUCAUGGCCCUUACGAGUAGGGCUACACACGUGCUACAAUGGUCGGUACAAAGGGUUGCCAACUCGCGAGAGUGAGCCAAUCCCGAAAAGCCGAUCUCAGUCCGGAUCGGAGUCUGCAACUCGACUCCGUGAAGUCGGAAUCGCUAGUAAUCGUGGAUCAGA